rnacentral:rRNA from 1 species
UACGUAGGGGGCUAGCGUUGUCCGGAAUCAUUGGGCGUAAAGCGCGCGUAGGUGGCUUCGUAAGUCCGUUGUGAAAGUCAAAGGCUCAACCUUUGAAAGCCGAUGGAUACUGUGAAGCUAGAGUACGGAAGAGGCGAGUGGAAUUCCUGGUGUAGCGGUGGAAUGCGCAGAUAUCAGGAGGAACACCAAUAGCGAAGGCAGCUCGCUGGGACGUUACUGACACUGAGGCGCGAAAGCGUGGGGAGCGAACCGG